rnacentral:ncRNA from 1 species
CGACCUCAGAUCAGACGAGAUUACCCGCUAAAUUUAAGCAUAUCAAUAAGCGGUGGAAAAGAAACGAAAACGAAUUCUCCAAGUAGCGGCGAGCGAAACGAGAAAAGUCCAUACACCGAAGUCGGCGAGCAGUUGUGUUCGUCAACAGUGUGGUGUUAAAGGUGUCGUUGCAUGUGCUGAAAUCAGUUCGUAGGCUCCCUUGAUUGGGGCUUCAGAGCGGGUGCAGGACCCAUAACGAACGAUGUUUUGUGCAUGGUGUCGCGGCUCCUAAUCGAGUCGGGUUGCUUGAGACUGCAGCCCAAAGCGGGUGGUAAAUCUCACCCAAGACUAAAUAUUCGUACGAGACCGAUAGCGAACAAGUACCGCGAGGGAAAGUUGAAAAGAACUCUGAAGAGAGAGUUCAACAGGACGUGAAACCGUUGACAGGCAAACGGAUGGAGCUGACGGUGCAAUUUUGACCAAAAUCAGUCGUCGCUGGGUUCGUUGGCGAAUGAAUCUUUUGCAAACCUUGUUUGUGUAGAUUAUCUUUCGAUUCGAUCUACGCACGGUGCACUUUUGGGUCGAUCAGCGUCACGAGCAACGUUUCGCAAAUGUUUUUU